rnacentral:rRNA from 1 species
GAUGAACGCUGGCGGCGUGCCUAAUACAUGCGAGUCGAGCGAACAGACGAGGAGCUUGCGCCUCUGACGCUAGCGGCGGACGGGUGAGUAACAAGAGGAAAACCCACCUAUAAGACUGGGAUAACUCCGAGAAACCGGCGCAUAAACCGGAUAAUAUAUUCAACCGCAUGGGUCAAUAGCGAAAGACGGUUUUCCUGACCCUUAUAGACGGACCCGCGCCGCAUUAGCUAGUUGGUAAGGGAAAGGCUUACCAAGACAACGAUGCGUAGCCGACCUGAGAUGGUGCUCGGCCCCACUGCAACUGAGACACGGUCCAGACUCCUACGGGAGGCAGCAGUCGGGAAUCUUCCGCCAUGGGCGCAAGCUUGACGGUGCCACGCCGCGUGCGUGAUGAAGUUCUUCGCAUCGUAAAACUCUGUUAUUAGGGAAGAACAAAUGUGUAAGUAACUAUGCACGUCUUCACGGUCCCUAAUCAGAAAGCCGCGGCUGACUUCGUG